UACGUAGGGGCCGAGCGUUGUCCGGAGUUAUUGGGCGUAAAGCGCGCGCAGGCGGCCUCGCGCGCCCGACGUGAAAGCCCCCGGCUUAACCGGGGAGGGUCGUUGGGGACGGCGGGGCUUGAGGGCGGGAGAGGGUGGUGGAAUUCCCGGUGUAGUGGUGAAAUGCGUAGAGAUCGGGAAAAACAUCGGUGGCGAAAGCGCUCUACUGGACGGUAUCUGACACUGAGGGACGAAAGCUAGGGGAGCGAAUGGG
rnacentral:rRNA from 1 species